AAGUCGUAACAAGGUUUCCGUAGGUGAACCUGCGGAAGGAUCAUUACCGAAGUACAGGCCCUUUUAUAGGGCUAAACUUCCACCCUUUGUUUACUAUUCUUUGUUGCUUUGGCGAGACGUCUUCGGACCACCGGCUCUCGGGCUGGUGAGCGCUCGCCAGAGGAAAAUCAAACCCAAACCUUUUUUAGUGUUGUCUGAGAAACAAGUUUAAUUAUUAAAACUUUCAACAACGGAUCUCUUGGCUCUG
rnacentral:misc_RNA from 1 species